rnacentral:rRNA from 1 species
GAUGAACGCUGGCGGCGUGCUUAACACAUGCAAGUCGAGCGAGAAAAGUUCUUCGGAGCUUUUCUAGCGGCGGACGGGUGAGUAACACGUGGGCAACCUGCCUCAUAGAGAGGAAUAGCCUUCCGAAAGGAAGAUUAAUACCGCAUAACAUUGUUGAAAGGCAUCUUUUAACAAUCAAAGGAGCAAUCCGCUAUGAGAUGGGCCCGCGGCGCAUUAGCUAGUUGGUGAGGUAACGGCUCACCAAGGCGACGAUGCGUAGCCGACCUGAGAGGGUGAUCGGCCACAUUGGAACUGAGACACGGUCCAGACUCCUACGGGAGGCAGCAGUGGGGAAUAUUGCACAGUGGGGGAAACCCUGAUGCAGCAACGCCGCGUGAGUGAUGAAGGUCUUCGGAUUGUAAAGCUCUGUCUUUAGGGACGAUAAUGACGGUACCUAAGGAGGAAGCCACGGCUAACUACGUGCCAGCCGCCGCCGUAAUAC